UAUUGUGCGGUGAUGAUACUUAUGUGGACUAGAGUUUCUGAUCUGGGAAUCUUCACCCAGAAUCUGAUUACAACCCCUUGGCUGUCUGAGCACACAAUUUUCCAAUAUCAAUGAUAAUUAUUUUCUGUUAAUUUUUUGUCUAAUAGUGGCUUAUGAUGAUAAUAUACCUUAUCUUAGCGGAUUUCAGUGAGAUUUUAUAUCAAUGAUCUGAAUGUUACACACACUGAAGCCAUUCUUUUUAUAUAAUUUUUUGUUUUUCAAAAUAUUAUAGUUUUGAAUCAUUUGUUAUUUGUUCUUCUGAUAUAAUUAUAUGUUAAUUGGUGCUAUGAUGAGAUAAAAACACCAAGGAAGUGUUUAUGGGCAGUGGACAAAAUCGUAAAGGUUUUGCCGUGAGCUUAUUUUUAAAACGACUUCUCCUUCCACUGAGCACUCUAUAAAUUUCUUGUGAUAUUUAUUUUUAUCUUGAGUUUGUAUUACAGGUUCUGACCUCAUCGAAUUACAACAUGGAAUUUUUAGUUCAAACAUUAAUUAUACAUCUAUAUUGUUUUGAAACAUGUUAAGUAUUGCGUCCAUUUACCAAUUCUGAAGGAUAAAUUGUUCCUUUUAGUGUAAUGGCUCGGACGCCAAAUUGAUUGUGUGGUGAUCCUGAUUGAUGGGUUUUAUUCAAUACCAUUUGGUCUUGGAAACGCCUCAUACAUUA
rnacentral:lncRNA from 1 species